GCAGUCGCCGCGGGAAUACGUAGGUGGCAAGCGUUGUCCGGAAUUAUUGGGCGUAAAGGGCUCGCAGGCGGUUUCUUAAGUCUGAUGUGAAAGCCCCCGGCUCAACCGGGGAGGGUCAUUGGAAACUGGGAAACUUGAGUGCAGAAGAGGAGAGUGGAAUUCCACGUGUAGCGGUGAAAUGCGUAGAGAUGUGGAGGAACACCAGUGGCGAAGGCGACUCUCUGGUCUGUAACUGACGCUGAGGAGCGAAAGCGUGGGGAGCGAACAGGAUUAGAUACCCCAGUAGUCCCUGUCUCUUAUAA
rnacentral:rRNA from 1 species